rnacentral:rRNA from 1 species
GCCAGCACGUAAUGGUGGGAACUUCAGGGAGACUGCCGGUGACAAACCGGAGGAAGGCGGGGACGACGUCAAGUCAUCAUGGCCCUUACGGGUAGGGCUACACACGUGCUACAAUGGCCAGUACAGAGGGUCGCGAAACGGUGACGUGGAGCCAAUCUUUCAAAGCUGGUCGUAGUCCGGAUUGGAGUCUGCAACUCGACUCCAUGAAGUCGGAAUCGCUAGUAAUCGCUGGUCAGCUACACAGCGGUGAAUCCGUUCCCGGGCCUUGUACACACCGCCCGUCACACCAUGGAAGUUAGUUAUACCCGAAGUUGUUAUCUUAACCCGUAAGGGAGAGAGACACCUAAGGUAGAAUUAGUGACCGGGGUGAAGUCGUAACAAGGUAACC